rnacentral:lncRNA from 1 species
CUGGAUCUACCAUGAAAGACUUCAGAGUCCAGGAAGAGAGACUGACUGGGCAACAUGUUAUUCAGUGAUGAAAUGCCAGCUGAGGCACAUGCCUUGGGAGUUAAGUGGUUGCUGCACUUGACCACUAUGAAGACUGCUGUGGGAAGGGUCCUUUUGGAUGCACUUGAGCAGGGGUCCCCAACCCCUGAGCCAUGGAGCUGUAAGGAGCCACACAGCAGGAGGUGAGUGGUG